UCUCUUCAAACAAGUGGAAUGUUAUUUUUGCCCUUGUCUCUUCGUGAAGAAAAAAGUGGCACCCAGAGUUGGCCGACGGUUUAGCUGCAAACGAAAAAAAAAUCCUUCUUCGGUUAUUCCACUCUAUCCCAAAAAGGUACUCCAUUAUUUUUGCUCUCCUUCAAUCUCGGUAGUUGUCCACAUUUCCAUCUCGGCAAUCAACAUCGGCCAUCUCAGC
rnacentral:lncRNA from 1 species